ACUGGGUAUGGUGUAGCAUGCCUGUAAUCCCAGCUACUGAGGAGGUUGAGGCAGGAAGAUUGUAAGUUGGAGGCCAAGCCUCAG
rnacentral:sRNA from 1 species